GCUCCAGUGGCCUAGUAGUUAGAGCGUCCGCCUAGGAUGCGGUAGGUCGCGGGUUCGAACCCUUGCCGAGUCA